CGUACACUCCUACGGGAGGCAGCAGUGGGGAAUUUUGGACAAUGGGCGAAAGCCUGAUCCAGCCAUGCCGCGUGCAGGAUGAAGGCCUUCGGGUUGUAAACUGCUUUUGUACGGAACGAAACGGCCUUUUCUAAUAAAGAGGGCUAAUGACGGUACCGUAAGAAUAAGCACCGGCUAACUACGUGCCAGCAGCCGCGGUAAUACGUAGGGUGCAAGCGUUAAUCGGAAUUACUGGGCGUAAAGCGUGCGCAGGCGGUUAUGUAAGACAGUUGUGAAAUCCCCGGGCUCAACCUGGGAACUGCAUCUGUGACUGCAUAGCUAGAGUACGGUAGAGGGGGAUGGAAUUCCGCGUGUAGCAGUGAAAUGCGUAGAUAUGCGGAGGAACACCGAUGGCGAAGGCAAUCCCCUGGACCUGUACUGACGCUCAUGCACGAAAGCGUGGGGAGCAAACAGGAUUAGAUACCCGAGUAGUCCCAU
rnacentral:rRNA from 1 species